rnacentral:misc_RNA from 1 species
GAACCGGGAGGAGGCGUUGCUCGCCCUCGCCGCGAUCGGUCGGUCGCUGGAGAGCAUUCCGGCGGAUCUGGCGGUUGCGGUGGAGGCCGGGAGGAUCCCUGGGGUGAUUGUGCAUCGGUUCGCCGAGCUGGAGAAGUCGGUUAUCUUCAGGUGGCUUAUGCAGUUUACGGGGUUUAAGGAGCGGCUGCUUGCUGAUGAUCUGUUUCUGGCGAAGGUCGGAAUGGAGUGCGGCGUCGGGAUUUUAACUAAGACUGCUGCGGAGUAUGAGCGUCGUAGAGAGAAUUUUCUAAAAGAGAUUGAUUUUGUUAUUGCUGAUGUGGUAAUGGCCAUAAUUGCAGAUUUCAUGUUAGUCUGGCUUCCUGCUCCAACUGUUUCACUUCGACCACCUGUUGCCUUAAGUGCUGGAGCAGUAACCAAAUUCUUCCAUAACUGUCCUGAUAAUGCUUUUCAGGUUGCUUUGGGUGGAACAUCCUAUUCAUUAUUGCAACGGAUAGGUGCAAUUGUGCGAAAUGGGUCAAAG